rnacentral:rRNA from 1 species
GGCAACGGGCGGCGUGCUAUACAUGCAAGUCGUACGCUUCUUUUUCCACCGGAGCUUGCUCCACCGGAAAAAGAAGAGUGGCGAACGGGUGAGUAACACGUGGGUAACCUGCCCAUCAGAAGGGGAUAACACUUGGAAACAGGUGCUAAUACCGUAUAACAAUCGAAACCGCAUGGUUUUGAUUUGAAAGGCGCUUUCGGGUGUCGCUGAUGGAUGGACCCGCGGUGCAUUAGCUAGUUGGUGAGGUAACGGCUCACCAAGGCUACGAUGCAUAGCCGACCUGAGAGGGUGAUCGGCCACAUUGGGACUGAGACACGGCCCAAACUCCUACGGGAGGCAGCAGUAGGGAAUCUUCGGCAAUGGACGAAAGUCUGACCGAGCAACGCCGCGUGAGUGAAGAAGGUUUUCGGAUCGUAAAACUCUGUUGUUAGAGAAGAACAAGGAUGAGAGUAACUGUUCAUCCCUUGACGGUAUCUAACCAGAAAGCCACGGCUAACUACGUGCCAGCAGCCGCGGUAAUACGUAGGUGGCAAGCGUUGUCCGGAUUUAUUGGGCGUAAAGCGAGCGCAGGCGGUUUCUUAAGUCUGAUGUGAAAGCCCCCGGCUCAACCGGGGAGGGUCAUUGGAAACUGGGAGACUUGAGUGCAGAAGAGGAGAGUGGAAUUCCAUGUGUAGCGGUGAAAUGCGUAGAUAUAUGGAGGAACACCAGUGGCGAAGGCGGCUCUCUGGUCUGUAACUGACGCUGAGGCUCGAAAGCGUGGGGAGCAAACAGGAUUAGAUACCCUGGUAGUCCACGCCGUAAACGAUGAGUGCUAAGUGUUGGAGGGUUUCCGCCCUUCAGUGCUGCAGCUAACGCAUUAAGCACUCCGCCUGGGGAGUACGACCGCAAGGUUGAAACUCAAAGGAAUUGACGGGGGCCCGCACAAGCGGUGGAGCAUGUGGUUUAAUUCGAAGCAACGCGAAGAACCUUACCAGGUCUUGACAUCCUUUGACCACUCUAGAGAUAGAGCUUCCCCUUCGGGGGCAAAGUGACAGGUGGUGCAUGGUUGUCGUCAGCUCGUGUCGUGAGAUGUUGGGUUAAGUCCCGCAACGAGCGCAACCCUUAUUGUUAGUUGCCAUCAUUCAGUUGGGCACUCUAGCAAGACUGCCGGUGACAAACCGGAGGAAGGUGGGGAUGACGUCAAAUCAUCAUGCCCCUUAUGACCUGGGCUACACACGUGCUACAAUGGGAAGUACAACGAGUCGCGAAGUCGCGAGGCUAAGCUAAUCUCUUAAAGCUUCUCUCAGUUCGGAUUGUAGGCUGCAACUCGCCUACAUGAAGCCGGAAUCGCUAGUAAUCGCGGAUCAGCACGCCGCGGUGAAUACGUUCCCGGGCCUUGUACACACCGCCCGUCACACCACGAGAGUUUGUAACACCCGAAGUCGGUGAGGUAACCUUUUGGAGCCAGCCGCCUAAGGUGGAUAGGAUGAGUG